rnacentral:rRNA from 1 species
UACGUAGGUGGCAAGCGUUGUCCGGAAUUAUUGGGCGUAAAGAGCUCGUAGGCGGUCUGUCGCGUCGGCUGUGAAAUCCGAGGCUCAACCUCGGUCUGCAGUCGAUACGGGCAAACUGGAGUGUUGCAGGGGAGACUGGAAUUCCUGGUGUAGCGGUGAAAUGCGCAGAUAUCAGGAGGAACACCGGUGGCGAAGGCGGUUCUCUGGGCAUGACCUGACGCUGAGGAGCGAAAGUGUGGGAGCGAAACAGG